UGACCCUGUGGAGAGAGAAGCCCACACUGGGGUUGGUUUUCUGGCAGGACUUGUGGCCCCACAGGGACCCCAUGUAUGUCCAGCCUGUUCCUGAAGGACUGCAGCCCUUGGGAAGGAGCCACAAGGGAACGGUUUGUGAAGAACUGCAGCCUGUGGGGAGCACUCACGUUGGAGAAGACUGCGGAGGGCUGUCUCCAAUGGAAGGGUACCCGCGCUGGAACAGGGAGAGUGUGAGGAGGGCAUGGCGGAGAUGUGAUAAACUCAUUUCAGAUGCCAUUUCCUGUCCCCCUGCACCUGCUGGAGCAGAGUAGUUUGAGCAAAUUGUGGCUGAAGGUGAGUCUGGAAACAAAGAAGGGAUAUGGGGAACAUGUUCUAAGGUUUGUUUUCUUUCUCAUUAUCCUACACUGAUUUGAUUGGCAAUAAAUCAAACCAAUAUCCCCAAACCGAGUCUAUUUUGCCCAUGACCGUGAUCAGUUUGUGAUUUCUCCCUGUCCUUAUCCUAAUCCAUGAACCGUUACCUAUGUUUUCUUUCCCUUGUCCAGGUGAGGAGUGGCUUUAGUGUGAAAGAGUGUCCUGGCCUCCAGGCAUGGUCAACCCAAAACAGAAUUGUUGGUUGGGAAAUAAGUGUUUGGUUUGCAUUUCUCAACAUCCAGAACCACCCCUGAAGAAAAUAGGGCAGCAGCCUUGCAGGUAGGAAAGACCUGUCCUGGAGGGGAAACAAAUAUAGCCACCAUAUAUUUUUAUUUAGAAACAACUGUGAGUAAAGCAGAUUUUUACAUUGAGACACUUAUUAAUGUUUAACAGAUUUUUGCAUGUUGUGAUAUUCCUUCUUAUAGCUUCAUGCAGGCAGUAAGGUCUGUACUCAUCAGUUAGAUCUUGAACAGACACAAUCUGGAGGUCUAAACCAGACAACAGAGAUCAAAUCCAAAACUCCUUCCAAAUUCAAAAGAAGGGGGCUUUAAAAUAGAGCAAUUUUCCCAAUAGCUCAGCAGACUGAGGACUAGAGAUGCUGCUGUGUUUUGGAGCUGAAGAAUCAGCUUCCAGCGUUACCAAUGCAAUUACCACAAUUUCCAAACAGCAGCUACAACAGCAGUACAACAAAGAAUUGUAUCUGUUGUAUACAACCUUAAAAUUGAGAAUUUGCUUUGUUGGAGAGGUAAAAAAAUCUCUUAAAAUGAGACUACAAAAGAUCAUCCUAAUUUCUAUCUAAUCCUGCUCCUGCUGCUUCCUCUUAUCAUAUCACAUUGCCUUUUGGAGAGCAGCAAGGGCCCCUUGCCCCCUUCCCUUCCCUUGUCCUGUGCCUCCAUAGGCUUAGCCACCACUGUGGGAGUUUCACAGGUUCUCCAGCCAAUGCUUUCCAACCCUUGUGUUAUAAGCAGGAGGCACAUAGAAAAGCUUCCCAUGUUAAAUACAUAUUUAGGAACCAUUUUGAGCCAUUGUAAGGGAGCAGAUUGAGGUGGGCAAAACAUGUGGGGGAUGUGAGGAGGGUAAAUGCCAUUUGACUGUACAGCUGAAAAAUGAUUGUUUAUUUCUGAAGGGGGUGGGCUUGAUAAUAGCAGUCACUUUUAUCUGUGUCUGCAAUGCAGAAGUUUCUCUGUGCUAAUCUUGGCACUGACAUUGAAAUUGAUGUGUGGCCUUUAGGUAAGUCACUUAAUCAAUGUGUUUGUAAAAUGAGGAUAAUAACAUUUAUUUGCCUGCCUGAAAUGGAUGUAGUAAGGACAGACUGGUUAGUGCUGUGAAAUGCUAUUUACCAGUAAUUGCAAGUAUUAUUAUGCUGUGGACUUAAACCCCUCCUUGACUGGUAAUUGAAAUGGCUGAAAAACCAAAUAAAAGUCUGAAAUGUACAGGUGACAGUGGUUUCAGCUAAGGUGGGGCUGGUUAACCUGCUUCCUUUUCAUGAAGCUAAUUAUGCUUUAGCUGAGGCAAUAUACAUCAAAAAAUGUUUUGAGCAUGUACCUGCUCUUACUUAGAAAUAGAAUGAGAGGAAAUAUUGUGGGAUUCAUAUUUGAAUCACUGGGUAAUGUACCAUUGAUAAUGGGUCAAGGGAGAAGCUGGGUGUAACACAGAAAAAUCUGUGUUCAAGGCUCUGUUCUGGGAUGCAGGAGCACUCAGGUGUCCUGAGAGCAGGAUGAGCAGUGCAGAUAAGACAGAAUUAGAUGCAUCAUUACCAUUUUCAACCCAAUUAACAUCCCUGCUCUUCAGGAUUAAAUAAGGUCUGUAACUUGCCUUUUGGUAUGGCAGGCUGAAAAAAAAUAAGUCCUGAGGCUGAGAAGAAUGAAUAAUGCUGUAGAGCAGUAUGAAGUAGAUUAGGAAAUGAAUUACAGUAAACUGUCUUAUCUGUGAGCUGGGCUUUGAGAACUCUCCUGAGGCCUCAGACUGCCCCCUUUAUCCCACAGAUGUUUCUCUGAGAAGAGAGGAACAUAAGAUGACUGCCUGGGGUGGCUAAAGAACCAGGUCCUACAAAAAAAUUAUUUUUGCCAUCUGUAAUACUGCAAAGAAUCAUCCUGUUACAAAUAAUCAUGUUAGGCUGAUGCAGUAGUUAAACCUAGGCUAAGGUUUCUCUACCAACUAAUAAAGGAGUUAUUUUAUCCCUCCUUAUGUUGAGUGAAAGCUCACCAGCAGGGUAAGUGCCUCUGACUUGACUAGAACUUGGGGGAAUAACUGCUUCAGGAAUGUUAUAGAGAUCUCAUAUCAUCAUCUCCUUACUAUUUUCAUGGUGAACUUUGAAAUUUAUUAAGGAAGCAGGGACUCAGACUGCAAUAUUUCCAAGAAUACACCAAGAGUUACGAAAAAAUAAGUGGUGGAAUUGUAACUGAGGAAUAACUUACAUUGCC